GCUGACGCCGGAAGUGGCCUCGGGUGGGGCUGCUCGUUACCCACUCGGCUCCGCGGCCUGGGCGGACUCGGAAGCGGUCGGUCCGGAAGAGAUUGCGAUGCUGCUACCGCGGGAACCGGGAUUCUAGAAGGGAAUCUUUCCGUGGGGACUGGGGCAGGACGGCUUCGUCCCCACAAUUGCACGCGCACAGCAUCACAGCGCGGUUUAGCCCAGGGUCUUUAGUUCUCAACCCUUCCUGCUGGCCUCUGCUCGGCUACAGCUGCGGGUGGAUCUGGCCGCAUCGAAAGUGCAGGUUAAGGAACUGGAAAGAUAGGCUUGCUUAGCUGUUGAGAGCACUGGCUGCGAGGAUGAGACUGAUGUGGUGAAGGGGACAGUAAAUGGUGUCACCCACACAAGUGCUGGAAAACGAUCAACUGGAAACUAGAUCAGGAGCAGCAGCCCCUCUCCAUGGCCAGGGCAUCCCAGAACAGCAACAUGGAUCCCUGCCUACAGAGCCCUCUGAACCAGCCAUUAACAGCAAAACUACACGAUGACACCUCUGCAUAGAAGGUCAUGGUGACAGCCCCCAGGCAGUGAUGUGUGGCCUUUGGGCUGGUGGAAAUAUCCUCUCCUCUGGCUGCAACUCCAAGGUGGACACAAGGAUCCAAGGUUGUCGCUGCCUAGCUGCUUGCCCAUUCCCUAAACUGAAGCUGGCCAAAGGAUUGGAAGAGAUUGAUGGCUCAAGUCAGACUCUGGUACCGGAGAUGGCUGUUAACACCCAAAAGGAAGAGAAACCUAGGCUGGAUAGGGAUGCUGGGUACAACUCACAGGGGUCUGCAGCACCUGUUGUCUUUAUUAACUACAAAACAGAGCUCAGUGAUGGGGCCAAAAGGGUCUGUUAUCUUCUACCCCAUCUAUUCAAUAACCACUGGCUAAUGAAUGACAGUUUUGUAAGUAAAACACAAAUACUUAGUGCAGUGACCUUUAAACUGAUGACAAAAACUAAAAAAUUCAAAGGGACCUUGUAGGACUCUUCAGUAAUGGAAGCCAAAAUUAAGCUGGCCGACAGUGAUAAUGAAAACAGAAGACAUAUCCAAGUGAUCUGUUUUGAAAGAUUUUAUUUAAUUUCUUUUAUGUA